GAUGAACGCUGGCGGCGUGCCUAACACAUGCAAGUCGGGCGAUCUUCUUCGGAAGAGAGCGGCGGACGGGUGAGUAACGCGUGGGUAACCUGCCCUGUACACACGGAUAACAUACCGAAAGGUAUGCUAAUACGAGAUAAUAUGCUUUUAUCGCAUGGUAGAAGUAUCAAAGCUUUUGCGGUACAGGAUGGACCCGCGUCUGAUUAGCUAGUUGGUAAGGUAACGGCUUACCAAGGCGACGAUCAGUAGCCGACCUGAGAGGGCGAUCGGCCACAUUGGAACUGAGACACGGUCCAAACUCCUACGGGAGGCAGCAGUGGGGAAUAUUGCACAAUGGGCGAAAGCCUGAUGCAGCAACGCCGCGUGAGCGAUGAAGGCCUUCGGGUCGUAAAGCUCUGUCCUCAAGGAAGAUAAUGACGGUACUUGAGGAGGAAGCCCCGGCUAACUACGUGCCAGCCGCCGCGGUAAAAC
rnacentral:rRNA from 1 species